GGCCUUGAGCGUUGUUGGUGGAGGAACGGUGCCUGUUGGCGUUGAGUGGAUGGAGGCAGAAGUGGCCAUCUGUGUGUGGGUAGUGAUGAUGACUGUGUGAGUACUUGGAGUCACCAAGGAGGUGGAGAAAGAUGGAACGUGAGUGGGAAGUGUGGUGUGAGGGUGUGAUGGGGUUGGAUAGGUAGUGGUGGUCUGGAAGGAUGUUGCAGUGACAGGACCUGUGGAAGAGAUGGGAGUGGUCCCUGUAGGUGGGGAGUGUGUGGUGAAGGGUGUGGGUAGCCUGCUGCUGGUGGCCGACGUGGUGUGGGCCACAGGGGUUCUGGUGCCUGUACUGGUGUGGUUGGGGGUGAUGCUGGUGGUAGAAGUUGAGGUGACUUCAGGAUGGUGUGUGGAGGAAGUGUGUGAAUGUAGGGAUGUAGAGGUUUUGGCUGUGUUUAAUGAGCUCAGGGCUUGGCUGGUCCCGCUGGUGGUCAGCGUCAUUGUUGGCGCUGUGUGGGUGGACCCUGUGGCCUUGAGCGUUGUCGGUGGAGGAAUCGUGCCUGUUGGCAUUGAGUGGAUGGAGGCAGAAGUGGCCAUCUGUGCAUGGGUAGGGGUGAUGACUGUGUGAGUACUUGGAGUCACCAAAGAGGUGGAGAAAGGUGGAACGUGAGUGGGAAGUGUGGUCUGAGGGUGUGAUGGGGUUGGAU
rnacentral:lncRNA from 1 species